rnacentral:rRNA from 1 species
UAGGGAAUCUUCCGCAAUGGACGCAAGUCUGACGGAGCAACGCCGCGUGAGUGAAGAAGGAUUUCGGUUCGUAAAACUCUGUUGUUAGAGAAGAACAGCGCAUAGAGUAACUGUUAUGCGUGUGACGGUAUCUAACCAGAAAGCCACGGCUAACUACGUGCCAGCAGCCGCGGUAAUACGUAGGUGGCAAGCGUUGUCCGGAUUUAUUGGGCGUAAAGCGAGCGCAGGCGGUCAAUUAAGUCUGAUGUGAAAGCCCCCGGCUCAACCGGGGAGGGUCAUUGGAAACUGGUUGACUUGAGUGCAGAAGAGGAGAGGGGAAUUCCAUGUGUAGCGGUGAAAUGCGUAGAUAUAUGGAGGAAAACCAGUGGCGAAAGCGGCUCUCUGGUCUGUAACUGACGCUGAAGCUCGAAAGCGUGGGGAGCGAACAGG